AGCAUUAGGGGGCCGGUGAAGGCAAAAAAGGACUAGGGGGUCAAGGUAGCCCCCCUGGUGGUGCUACAUGAUCUAGCGACGAUGGCUUUCGGGGAAGAGAAGGUGCGGACAACAAGGCAAUGGGACAACAGGGUGGUGACGGAGAAGAACCGGGUGGAGAAAGUGGCGGCGCUAUCGCUGAACGACAUAUGCAAGAGCAGGAGAUGCCAAGGGGGGGAUAUGUUGAUGACCAGCGACAAUAUCAUUGACGAGAUGCUAAUUGUAUGCCGAUCCUCGGCUUCGAGAUCGCCCUCAGGUGCUAACGUAAGAUGAGCUUUCAUUUCUAAGCAAUUCUUCUCAUAUCAAUGAGGAACAAGGAUUAUUAUUAUUUUUUUAGACUCGUGUGCAUCUCCUUCAUAG
rnacentral:lncRNA from 1 species